rnacentral:tRNA from 1 species
GCUCGUGUAGCUCAACGGUAGGGCAUCGCCUUGUCAGGGCGAGAGGUGCGGGUUCGACUCCCGUCGCGAGCG